UAACACGUUGACCCGGCGUCUUGGCAGCAGCACUGGGAAGCUGCGUUGGUGAAUCCAGGUCCUCUGGUUUUCUUUCCUUCCUUCCUUCCUUCCUUCUGAAGGAAGCCCCCAUGAACGGGUCCCUGGGAUUAAGGGGGAAGCGGAGGUUUUAAUGAAGCAGACUCCAUUCUUCCGAGGGGUGAAGGGAGAUAACUUUUGAAGGGGAUAAAUGUAAGCAAAUGCUGAACAACAUGCCGAUUCUGAAGGCACAAAUCCCCUCCACAGAACUGCAAAUUGAAGACCCAAGGCUCCUGUUCUGUUGAAAAGAGACUUUUGAGCCCAACAAGGGGACCUUGAGGAGCUCUCCUGAGAGUCCCUUUCACAUAGAUAUGCACAGAAUGAAUAGUUUAUCUCCAGCUCCUGCUGACUUUCAUGAAUAAUUUGAUGUAAAAAGCUAAGUUGCAUUUCUGCUGUGUCGGUUAACUUGGAAGUACCAGCUUCUAAUAUUCCAGCCACAGACUGAAACAGACUUUCCAGUUUUAGAGGCCAAAGUGGCCUCCCUGGCUUCCACUCAUUGUGAAUACCUUACCUUUUCUCCUCCUUUAACUACCUGGCUGCUUCAGGCUCCCCAAAACAUGAAAGAGGCUCUAGAGCUUCCAGCUGACAGAACAUCUCUUGUGAAUGAAAGCUCUUUACUUAAACACAGCAGAUUUGGUGGGACAUACAGCUGUGAUUUUUACUGUUUCUCGUUUUCAUUCCCAGGUGUACGCCAGAAAAUCCUGUGGUCAGCCCUGAAGGGCAAAACAGAUCUCUGCUGAGCAGAGCAGC
rnacentral:lncRNA from 1 species